UACGUAGGUCCCGAGCGUUGUCCGGAUUUAUUGGGCGUAAAGCGAGCGCAGGCGGUUAGAUAAGUCUGAAGUUAAAGGCUGUGGCUUAACCAUAGUACGCUUUGGAAACUGUUUAACUUGAGUGCAAGAGGGGAGAGUGGAAUUCCAUGUGUAGCGGUGAAAUGCGUAGAUAUAUGGAGGAACACCAGUGGCGAAAGCGGCUCUCUGGCUUGUAACUGACGCUGAGGCUCGAAAGCGUGGGGAGCAAACAGG
rnacentral:rRNA from 1 species